GCUAGUUGUACGAGUUCAGACUCGUAGCAGAUAGCUCAGUAACACGUGGCCAAACUACCCUAUGGACCCAGACAACCUCGGGAAACUGAGGCUAAUCUGGGAUACGAUUCUCCCGCUGGAACUGCAGAGAAUCCGAAAUGCCCCGGCGCCAUAGGAUGUGGCUGCGGCCGAUUAGGUAGACGGUGGGGUAACGGCCCACCGUGCCGAUAAUCGGUACGGGUUGUGAGAGCAAGAGCCCGGAGACGGUAUCUGAGACAAGAUACCGGGCCCUACGGGGCGCAGCAGGCGCGAAACCUUUACACUGCACGCCAGUGCGAUAAGGGGACUCCGAGUGCGAGGGCAUAUAGUCCUCGCUUUUCACCACCGUAAGGUGGUGGUGGAAUAAGUGCUGGGCAAGACCGGUGCCAGCCGCCGCGGUAAUACCGGCAGCACGAGUGAUGACCGCUAUUAUUGGGCCUAAAGCGUCCGUAGCUGGCCGCGCAAGUCUAUCGGGAAAUCUGCUCGCCUAACGAGCAGGCGUCCGGUGGAAACUGUGUGGCUUGGGACCGGAAGACCAGAGGGGUACGUCCGGGGUAGGAGUGAAAUCCCGUAAUCCUGGACGGACCACCGGUGGCGAAAGCGCCUCUGGAGGACGGAUCCGACGGUGAGGGACGAAAGCUCGGGUCACG
rnacentral:rRNA from 1 species